rfam:Paraburkholderia tropica strain P-31 P31_contig_21, whole genome shotgun sequence.
GUGGGUAUCGUCACCCUCCAGCCCACCGCCGUGCCGGUCGUGUCCGAACUGCCGGGCCGCACCAAUGCCUUCCUCGUCGCGCAAGUGCGCGCACGGGUCGACGGCAUCGUGCUGCGCCGCGAGUUCACCGAAGGCAGCGUCGUGAAGGCAGGCCAGCGCCUGUACAAGAUCGA